rnacentral:rRNA from 1 species
UCGGGAAUACUGGACAAUGGGCGAAAGCCUGAUCCAGCCAUGCCGCGUGCAGGAUGACGGUCCUAUGGAUUGUAAACUGCUUUUUGUACAGGAAGAAACAGUUCUACGUGUAGAACCUUGACGGUACUGUAAGAAUAAGGAUCGGCUAACUCCGUGCCAGCAGCCGCGGUAAUACGGAGGAUCCAAGCGUUAUCCGGAAUCAUUGGGUUUAAAGGGUCCGUAGGCGGUUAGAUAAGUCAGUGGUGAAAGCCCAUCGCUCAACGGUGGAACGGCCAUUGAUACUGUCUGACUUGAAUUAUUAGGAAGUAACUAGAAUAUGUAGUGUAGCGGUGAAAUGCUUAGAGAUUACAUGGAAUACCAAUUGCGAAGGCAGGUUACUACUAAUGGAUUGACGCUGAUGGACGAAAGCGUGGGUAGCGAACAGGAUUAGAUACCCAUGUAGUCCCUGAGCGGGCUGGCAAGGCGCAU